CCCACUUUCGCAUUGAGGGGGAAACUCAAUUGCGGAUCGCGCUCGCACGUGACGAGCGAUCGAGCAAAAACGACACGCUCGCUCCCCCACUUCGGUUCCAUCGACGCUCUCCGUCUGCUUCUCCCCUUGCAGCUCCCCGCAGACGGACUCCCCGAAUCACCACCAACGCCUCCUUCUCCCUCCUCUUAUACGAACUUGGCAGUUUCUGAGCCGAACCCACCAUUCCAUUCCCCUCGCCCCUCGCGAUUCGCGUCGAAAGGAGCCGCCUUUUGCCGUCCCCCGGGGAGCCCACCGAUGGCGUCGUCUCUUUCCACCACCGCUUCCACCCUCCCCAAAGCCUCCUCCCGCCUGCCCCGCUCCUCCCCCGACGCCCCGCGCGCUCUCUCCUUCCGCCUCCCCUCCCCCUCUCGGCCCAAGCUCCGGUUCCUCGCCCGGGGUUUGCAUCAUACCUCGAGGAGCUCGGCGGUGGUGAAGGCCCAAUCAAAAGAGGUCUCUGUUGAUGGAUCCUCAAAUGCUGCUGCUACGCCUCCAUCAAAACCUGCAGUACCAGCCUCAGAAACAAAGGAUGCUCAGCCACCUGUUGAUCCCUCUUCUGCAAGUUUGGCUACCGAGCAGUCAAUCUCAGAAUUUAUCUCUCAAGUUUCAAAUCUAGUCAAGCUUGUUGAUUCUAGAGAUAUCAUGGAGCUGCAGCUAAAGCAGCUUGACUGUGAGCUAAUUAUUCGCAAGAAAGAGGCCUUGCCUCAACCGUCAGCUCCUGCUCCACCUAUGAUGAUCCCUGCGCCCUCUCCUGUUACAGGCCCCCCUGCCUCAGUUGCACCUGCCUCUGCACCUGCCGCCCUUGCACCUGCCGCUCCUAGGCCACCACCUCCAUCAGCUAGCAAGCCGGCUGAAUCAUCGCUUCCACCUCUUAAAUGUCCCAUGGCAGGAACAUUCUAUCGAAGUCCAGGACCGGGGAACCCCAUUUGUAAAGAAAGGAGACAAAGUACAGAAAGGACAGGUCAUAUGCAUUAUUGAAGCCAUGAAAUUGAUGAAUGAAAUUGAAGCUGAUCAAUCGGGAACUAUAGUCGAUAUUAUUGCGGAAGAUGGCAAACCAGUCAGCGUUGACACGCCACUUUUUAUCAUCCAACCGUGAACCUUUUAUCUUGAGGAGGCAAAAGCACAACUCAGUGGGACGUCGAAGAAGAGUAAUUUUCUUUGUACUGAGAUGUCAUGCGGCAUUGAGUGAUUCGAGUUGAUAUAUUUUUGAAAGUUGAGUUGAUAGGUAGAGAGAAGUAAAGAUGAUUUGCUAGUUAUUCCUUUCAAUACUGCGUUGUUGCUGGGAUGACAUACACGGAUAAACUUUUGGCUUUUCGCGUCAAUUCUAUUUAUGUUCAAGCAGUGGAAUGUUAUGUGGACCAUAUUGUUUGAUUCCGCAAUCUAUCAACUUAGUGAAUGCAGUUAUCUA